GGUGGCUACGAGUUGACCAUAGUACGAGUGGUAAGUUUUGUCAUCUAGGCAACAACCAAGGUAGAACUGAAAAAUUGAGGGUUAGAGAAGCUGGUGAGUUGCAAUGACCUGCGCCAAAUGAGACAAAGCUCAGAAGUCAACAAGGGCCAGGUAAUGUGAAAGCUAAUGCAGCGGAUUAUGAGAGUGUUGAAGCUGAUCAACGGAACCUGCUAUAUAAAGCUAAUGAAUUAAAUCAACAAAAUGUGCAAUCUAAAACUGCAGUAGUUGAACACAAACAACAGGGUGGAGUGGAGAAACUUGGCCAAUGCUGCCUUGAAGAUAUCCGAGAUUACAAGCAUGGUGGAAAAAACAACUGAAGUUAGGAGAAUGAAGGAGGAAUUGCAAAGAUACACUUUAAUUCAGUUUAGAAAAACCAAACCCCCGCAGCAUCGCGCGGGAAGGAUUUU